AGACUUCAGAUCAGACGUGACGACCCACUGAAUUUAAGCAUAUUACUAAGCGGAGGAAGAGAAACUAACCAGGAUUCCCCCAGUAACGGCGAGUGAAGAGCCCAGUGCUGAAUCCCCGCCCGCCCGCUACCCACCCCGGCGUCGCUCGGGGGCCCAAGUCCUUCUGAUCGAGGCCCAGCCUGCGGACGGUGUUAGGCCGGUGGCGGCCCCGCUGCGGCGGGACCCGGUCUCCCCGGAGUUGGGUUGUUUGGAAUUGCUGCCCAAAGCGGGUGGUAAACUCCAUCUAAGGCUAAAUACCGGCACGAGACCGAUAGCGAACAAGUACCGUAAGGGAAAGUUGAAAAUAACUUUGAAGAGAGAGUUCAAGAGGGCGUGAAACCGCUGAGAGGUAAACGUGUGGGGUCCGUGCGGUCAGCCCGGAGGAUUCAACCCGGCGAGCUGACGCGCAGGCCGCCCCGAGUCGUCGGACCUCCCUUGCCCGCUCCGUCCUCCCCUCGCGGGAAGGCAGCCGGCAGCGGGGAAGACACGGCCCGGGCGGCCCCGGCCCCCGCAGGGCGCAUUUCCUCCACAGCGGUGCGCCGCGACCUGCACCGGGCCGGCUGGGAAGGCCCAGAGGGGGUUUCCCCUACGCGCCGUGCCACCCGGCGUUACAGCCCCCUCCCGGCAGGAGCAGUCGCCUGGGCCUGAGGGAGACGACCGUCUCCGUGCCCUCCCCCCGUCGAACCUUCCCGGGGAGGGGGGACGGGGCCUCCCCGCUCCCGGUGCGGCUGUCCACAGGGGUGGACUGUCCUCAGUGCGUCCCUGACCAUGCCGCCGAGGUGGGAGGGCCCACGACCACGGGCGUCAGGGGUCUGCGGCGAUGUCGGUGGCCCACCCGACCCAUCUUGAAACAUGGACCAAGGAUUCUAAUGCACGCGCGAGUUGGAGGGCUCGCAGCGAAACCCCGCAGCGUAAUGAAGGUGAGGGCCGGGGCGCCCCGGCUGAGGUGGGAUCCCGCCACCACCUACCGCGCCAGCGUGUGCACCUCCGGCCCGUCUCGCCCGCUCCGUCGGGGAGGUGGAGCAUGAGCACGCGCGAUAGGACCCGAAAGAUGGUGAACUAUGCCUGGGCAGAGCGAAGCCAGAGGAAACUCUGCUGGAGGUCCGCAGCCGUCCUGACGUGCAAAUCGGUCAUCCGACCUGGGUAUAGGGGCGAAAGACUAAUCGAACCAUCUAGUAGCUGGUUACCUCCAAAGUUUCCUUCAGGAUAGCUGGCGCUCCGUGCAGGCACGACACCCGUACGCAGUUUUAUCCGGUAAAGCGAAUGAUUAGAGGUCUUGGGGCUGAAACAAUCUCAACCUAUUCUCAAACUUUAAAUGGGUAAGAAGCCCGGCUCGCUGGCCUGGAGCCGGGUGGACCACUUUUGGUAAGCAGAACUGGCGCUGCAGGAUGAACCGAACGCCAGGUUAAGGCGUCCGAUGCCGACGCUCAUCAGACCCCAGAAAAGGUGUUGGUUGAUAUAGACAGCAGAACGGUGGCCAUGGAAGUUGGAACACGCUAAGGAGUGUGUAAAAACUCACCUGCCGAAUCAACUAGCCCUGAAAAUGGAUGGCACUUGCGGGCCCGCAGGGUCUAGGCUGCGACGAGUAGGAGGGCCACCGUGGUGAGCGCGGAAGCCCAGGGCGAGGGCCCGGGCAGAGCCGCCACGGGUGCAGAUCUUCAAAUGAGAACUUUGAAGGCCGAAGUGGAGAAGGGUUCCAUGUGAACAGCAGUUGAACAUGGGUCAGUCGGUCCUAAGAGAUGGGCGAGCGCCAUUCGGAAGGGACGGGCGAUGGCCUCCGUCGCCCUCGGUCGAUCGAAAGGGAGUCGGGUUCAGAUCCCCGAAUCCGGAGUGGCGGAGACGGGCGCGCCUGCGGCGUCCAGUGCGGUGAUGCGAACGAUUCCAGAGAAGCCGGCGGGAGCCCCGGGGAGAGAACUCUUUUCUUUGUGAAGGGCAGGGCGCCCCGAGAGAGGGGCCCGGGCCUUGGAAAGCGACACGGUUCGGGUGGCGUCUGGUGAGCUCUCGCUGGCCUUUGAAAAUCCGGGAGAGAAGGUGUAAAUCUCGCGCUGGGCCGUACCCAUAUUCGCAGCAGGUCUCCAAGGUGGCAUGUUAGGACAAUAUAGGUAAGGGAAGUCGGCAAGUCAGAUCCGUAACUUCUGGAUAAGGAUUGGUUCUAAGGGCUGGGUCGUUCGGGCCGGGGUGCGAAGCAGGGCUGGGCGUGUGCCGUGGCUGGAUGAGGCGCCCCCCCGGCACUCCGCACCUCGACCGCCACCUCCCCUGUCCCCUUUGCCAGGGACGGAUGGAGGGUGGCGGUCGGCUGCGGGGGGGCUACCGGAUGGCUGGGCAUCAACUCUGGACAUGUGCCGGGCCCUUCCCGUGGAUCGCGCCAGCUGCGGCGGGCGGCUCUCCCCUUUGCUCCCCCCGGUCUCCCGUCUGCAUCUCCCCACCCUCCUCUCUGGGGGGGGAGGGAUGGGCGCGGCAG